GUUGCGAUGUGACCUGCUCUCAAAGAGGUAAGAGUGAGGCUGGCCUGGCUGAGUUCAGCUCUAUGGGACGGAAGACAGGGCCAGGGCACCUGCUGCUUCUCCCUUCAGAUGCAGCUGCCAGCCUCAGAAGCCAGUUAAGGUAGAGGCUGUAGAAUUUGGGAAGGUGGGGGGCACCUGUGCUGAAAUCCUGUUAUGACAUUGAAGAGGAACAGGACAAGGGACUGUGCCUUCCUGGGGCUGACUUUGUUCCCGUCUCCUCUGUAGCCAAGCCCUCAAUGUCAGGCUGCACCUCCCCCUGCCUCGAGGGGUGGUCAGCCUGUCUCAGGAGCUGAGCAGCCCAGAGCAGAAGGCUGAGCUGGCAGAGGGAGCCCUUCGCUGGGACCUGCCUCGGGUGCAAGGAGGCUCUCAACUCUCAGGCCUUUUCCAGAUGGACGUCCCAGGGCCCCCAGGACCUCCCAGCCAUGGGCUCUCCACCUCGGCCUCUCCUCUGGGGCUGGGCCCUGCCAGUCUCUCCUUCGAGCUUCCCCGGCACACGUGCUCUGGCCUCCAGGUCCGAUUCCUC
rnacentral:lncRNA from 1 species